GAGAGGACCUCCUGGCUUCCUGACCCCAUGAUCGGGUAUUUGAAAGUUACAAAUGGCCCAGGAUUAUUGAAUUGAACUGCAUCAAAUCCACAAGUAGGGUUUCUUACUAGGCCUGGAGCUAGUUUGGUGGCCAGCAAACCUCAGUUCUAUCCAUUUGCCUGCAAAUUUCAUGAUUUCCUUGAUGGAGUCAAUUGGCAGUUCAGUCUCUGUGUGGAAUUUCUGAGUAAGGGGAGCAGGGGCUGCCUCUUUCAUGAACUCGGUUGCCUGCUUUUUCAUCACUUGCCCCUGGCGGUGUGCCCUUGCCAGGCCACUGAGGAAGAGGAUUCAAGCAGUCUUGAGGAGACUUGAUAAGCUAUGGGCAAAUGACAAUAGUGGAGAACUCCCCUUUCAGUGGACUAAGGCCCUACGCUAAGAAGAACAGCUAUGAAGACCCUGCAUCACCCUACCCGGUGAGGACAGGGGAAUAAAAGUUCUGUACCAAUAAUGAAGGAGAAAUUAUACAGUGUCAUGGUUAAGAAGCUUGGUUUCCACUGUUUGUACUGUGACUAGGAUCAAGAUUUUGGACAACACUUAAGUAUCAAAUACCUCGGCUGACCAGGAAAAGCCAUAGUGUAUAACCAUGAUGAUCUAAGAACACAAGCACGGGAAUACAUCCCUCAAUGGUCUUCAGCAGAAGAAUACUUUGGCCAGAUUUUCACUGUGAAUAGAACAUUCCAACCACUGCAUGGCAUAUAGGGACCAGGAGGCAGAGGCUGAAGGGGAAGCUGAAUCAGACCUACUUGGAUUAAAUCAGAACUACUUGGAUUAAAAAAAAAUCAUUAAAAACCUGAUUCAAAUGA